UACGAAGGGGGCUAGCGUUGCUCGGAAUCACUGGGCGUAAAGCGCACGUAGGCGGACUCUUAAGUCAGGGGUGAAAUCCUGGAGCUCAACUCCAGAACUGCCUUUGAUACUGGGAGUCUUGAGUUCGGGAGAGGUGAGUGGAACUGCGAGUGUAGAGGUGAAAUUCGUAGAUAUUCGCAAGAACACCAGUGGCGAAGGCGGCUCACUGGCCCGGUACUGACGCUGAGGUGCGAAAGCGUGGGGAGCAAACAGG
rnacentral:rRNA from 1 species